CUAUGAACACAUAAAAAGGAAUGGAAAAAUACACCCCCUGUUUUAGGCAGACUGCUUUAUAUGCUCUUGUCUAUCGACCACAAAAUUUACCCCACUGUCCUUUUUUAUAAUGCUUUUUGGUAUUGAACAAAUAUUUCACAAUCAUUUUUACAUUUUUUUGGUUUAGAUCAUGAAUGUAUAUCAGAUAUCUAAAUCACUUACUUCAUAUAUUUAUGUCACUCAUUAUUUUAGUCUAUGACUGUAUUGUCACAUGUCACAAAGACUGUCAGGCAUACAGUGUAAUACUCUGUGAUAAUACAAAAAGGUAUCAGUUAUGUCAGAUAUCUAAAUAACUGACUUCAUAUAUUCAUGUCACUCAUUAUUUUAGUCUAUGACUGUAUUGUCACAUGUCUCAAAGACUGUCAGGCAUACAGUGUAAUACUCUGUGAUAAUACAGAAAGUUAUCAGCGCAAAAUACAGUGAUACAUUUCUGUAGACUAUAUUUGACACAUUGCAGAGGCUCUGAUUUCAAAAGUUUAUUUAUAGCUUAAAUUUUCAGAUUAACUGAUGUGGACUCCCUUUAAGAACAAUUAAUGCUAUUUAACAAGGACAUUCAUCUUAAAC